AUUAUUGAUUUAUAUCGGUUAAAUAUUAUAUCAGGUAUAAAUUAUUUUACAUUUUCAGUUUGUUUUUCCCGCAAUACUUUCUUUUUUGUGCAAAACUUCAUUUCGAUUACCAUUGUUGUCCGUUCAGUCGUGUUGAGGUGGUUGGGUAAAACUCUUGUUCCCGUUUGAAGUUGCCCGUGUUUCUCAUUCACUGUGCGUUUCUCAUCUUCUUUUUCGCGUUUGAAGUUGUUCGCAUUUGGGUAAAGCAGCAUUUCUCAGCGUCGUCUUUUUCUCUUUCGCACAUCGGAGAGCAUUUCUCAGCGUCGUCUUCCUCACUUUCAGUGGCUCGAGAGCUCAUCCUUCACUAUCAUAGAGUAUCUUCCUUACUUUUAGGGUUCCUUGGUUCCUUCACGAUUUUGCAUCGAUUAAACAAGUUCUCUUGAGGGUCUGAGGCAAACAUUUUGUAUUUUAGUUUCUUUUUGCCGUUUCAAUUCACGGUUAGAAGGUGGUCGUGAGCGUGUGCUACCAGGGAACAACUCUUACAACUCAGAGAGCUGAUCCUUGACAGAGAACCUAUCGAGGUUCUUCGUCCAAAACACUAAUCUAUUGAGGACGAAAUGGAUUUCAUAUGUCGGGAAAAGAUGAAAGAAUUUCAAGACUAUGCUUACAAGUCAUUAUAUUUAUGGUUCCAAAACUGAUAAAAGCCCUUGUGAAAAGUAUCAAUUUCUUGAUGAGCAAACAUGGCAAGCCUUUAAGUUGAAGCGAUUAGAUCUUGCCUUUCAGGUAAAUUCAUUUUAUAUCAUAGUUUAACUAUUUAUGUUAACAUAUUGCUAACAUAAUUAAUUAUCUAUACACUAGGCUAAGAGGAGAGCUGCACAAGAGAUCACAAAGAAAAAUGUUCACCCUCAUAAAUUGUCUCGUGAGGGUUAUGAGAAAUUGGAGCUGAAGAUGAUAAAAGAAGCAUCUGCCUCUAAUCCUAUUGGGGCCUCUGAUACGAGUACCAUAACUCGUCUUCCAUGCCAUGUUACAUGGAAGAGAGCUCGUCAGAGACCAUCUGGGGAGUACACAUAUGAGGAAACCGCGAGCAUAGCUAGGCGCAUUGUAAGUCCAUAUAAUAACAACAUAUGAUCUCCCAUAUGUGAUUAACUUAACUUUAAAUAUUUGGUUAUAGGAUGAGUUGGUCGAGCAGAGCACACAAGGUACAUUCACUCCCGAGGGCCGUGAGGACAUAUUGGCAGUUGCCAUUGGUCGUCCAGAGCAUUAUGGACGUGUUCAAGGUGUUGGUAAAUUUAUUGGCAUCCGUCAAUUCUUCGGUCCUCCAACAAGUCAUCAUAGUAAAGCCAUGUCAGUGAUGAGGUCCUCAAGGGUAUAAGAGAAGAAAUUAUACAGGACAUGAGGGAGGAAAUGAGGGAGGAGAUCAGCGAGAUGAAGAAAGAGUACGGUGAUAUGAGAGCACAAUUGAAGGAGUACUCUGAUAUGCGGGAACAAUUGUUAGCAGAUGUGCGAGCAGAAUUAGCCUCCUCCUCAAGCCAGCCUAGGAAUCUCCCUCAACCUUCUCAUCUUUGUAUGAGCACAAAGGAGAGUUGUGAUGUUUCUCCUCAAAAUGCUUCUCCCACUAUUGAUGCAGACUACGAGUUGUUUAGUGAUGAUGCCCUAUAGUGCUUGGUGGCCUUAGACGUACGAGAUGCUACAGCUCGAGUCCCUGUGCUCACUGAGGAUGUUCAGACAGUGGGACAGGCCCCUGGAAAUUUUAUCCUUUGACCCCUUAGAUUAUUAAGAACAAUUGUAAAGAAGGUUGAAGCACAAGGAUAGAAAGAUAUGAAUGAAUCACUGCAACAACCGUCGCAGCCGCCACAACAAAUAAUUCUAGAACAACUUGGUGUGUUGGCAGUGAAGAUCUCCCUUUCUCCUACAGAGUUACAAACGCCUUCUGAAGUCACAAACAGGACAUCUUCGCUCUCUUUCUUCAUAUGUCAGAGGGAUAUUUUUGAAAUUCUCUCUGGCACUGAUAUGUUAUGUAUAUCAGUACUACAACUUUGGUUGUUGUAAGUAAAUUUCUACAUUUAUGAAGUUUAAAUAUAUUCAAUAUUUUAUUCUAACAUUAUUCAUUAGGGUUAAAUAUGUUUUUGGUCCCUUAACUUUCAAAGAAAAUUGGAAUUAGUCCCUCUUCAAAACUUUGGCCUAAUUUAGUCCCCAAACUUUAGAAAUGUGUGAAUUUAGUCCUUUUAACUAAAUUUUGUUAGGUUUAUUUGAUGUUUCAAGUGCGUUUCAUGAUAACAUUUGAGUUGUUUACACCGUUUGACACAUUUUUGCUUCAAUGUUCACUGAGAAAUGCGUUUGAAACAUCAAAUAAAGUUAACAAAAUUUGGUUAAAAGGACUAAAUUCACACAUUUUUAAAGUUUGGGGACUAAAUUAGUCCAAAGUUUUGAAGAGGGACUAAUUCCAAUUUUCGCUGAAAGUUAAGGGACCAAAAACAUAUUUAACCCUUAUUCAUUUUCAAUGUUUAAGGUAUUUACAUCGGUUGACCAUUGAAAGGAAGAAUGAUCACAUUUAUGGUUUUAUUGACCCUAUUGCCAUUCAAGGAGUUGGGAAUAAAGGUGAAGAGGUUCAAAACUACCUCUUAGAGGCUUUUGUACGUAGCACCUUAUUUGCAACAGGGUCACUGGCAAUUGUUACUAAUUCUUCCUCAAUAAUUUCUUGUAGUUCUCUUAUGUUCAUUGCACAAAAAACCUCACACUUUGGCAAUUAAAAAUACACUAAUAUUAGUGGUUGAGGUAUAUUCAAGGUUGCAGGGAACACAUACCGUCUCUAGAAAGAAGUUGCAGUUCAUUGCACCAACUUGCUCACGUCAACCGGGAAGCUUUGAGUGCGGAUAUUAUGUCAUGAGGCACAUGCAGAAAAUUAUAUCCGCAAAUGUCGUUGACUCAUGGAAAUUGAUAUUUGAUGACACGUCUCCAAUGGAACAACAUGUCAUAAAGGAUGUUCGGGAGCAAUGAGCUGCAUUUCUUUUAACCAUUUGUAAAUGAUUGGAUGUUUCAAUAUUACAUUUUGAGUUUAGGAACUAUUUUAUGUGUAAUAUGUUAAGUACUUAUGUUAGGUAAAUAUAUUUAGGAACUUUGUUAGGUAAAUAUUACAUUUUGAUGUGUUAAUGAAAACAAUAUUGAUUGUUUUA